GACGAACGCUGGCGGCGUGCUUAACACAUGCAAGUCGAACGGAAAGGCCCCUUUGGGGGUACUCGAGUGGCGAACGGGUGAGUAACACGUGAGUAACCUGCCCUUGACUUCGGGAUAACUUCAGGAAACUGGGGCUAAUACCGGAUAGGAAUCCUUGCUGCAUGGUGGGGGUUGGAAAGCUUCGGCGGUUUUGGAUGGACUCGCGGCUUAUCAGCUUGUUGGUGGGGUAGUGGCUUACCAAGGCUUUGACGGGUAGCCGGCCUGAGAGGGCGACCGGCCACAUUGGGACUGAGAGACGGCCCAGACUCCUACGGGAGGCAGCAGUGGGGAAUAUUGCACAAGGGGCGGAAGCCGGAUGCAGCAACGCCGCGUGCGGGAUGACGGCCUUCGGGUUGUAAACCGCUUUCAGCAGGGGCGAAGCUUGUGGUGACGGUACCUGCAGAAGAAGCACCGGCUAACUACGUG
rnacentral:rRNA from 1 species